GUGGGGAAUAUUGGACAAUGGGGGGAACCCUGAUCCAGCCAUGCCGCGUGUGUGAAGAAGGCCUUUUGGUUGUAAAGCACUUUAAGCGAGGAGGAGGCUACCGAGAUUAAUACUCUUGGAUAGUGGACGUUACUCGCAGAAUAAGCACCGGCUAACUCUGUGCCAGCAGCCGCGGUAAUACAGAGGGUGCAAGCGUUAAUCGGAUUUACUGGGCGUAAAGCGCGCGUAGGUGGCCAAUUAAGUCAAAUGUGAAAUCCCCGGGCUUAACUUGGGAAUUGCAUUCGAGACUGGUUGGCUAGAGUAUGGGAGAGGAUGGGAGAAUUCCAGGUGUAGCGGUGAAAUGCGUAGAGAUCUGGAGGAAUACCGAUGGCGAAGGCAGCCAUCUGGCCUAAUACUGACACUGAGGUGCGAAAGCAUGGGGAGCAAACAGGAUUAGAAACCCCAGUAGUCC
rnacentral:rRNA from 1 species